rnacentral:rRNA from 1 species
GGGGAAUAUUGGACAAUGGGCGCAAGCCUGAUCCAGCCAUGCCGCGUGAGUGAUGAAGGCCCUAGGGUUGUAAAGCUCUUUCACCGGUGAAGAUAGUGACGGUAACCGGAGAAGAAGCCCCGGCUAACUUCGUGCCAGCAGCCGCGGUAAUACGAAGGGGGCUAGCGUUGUUCGGAAUUACUGGGCGUAAAGCGCACGUAGGCGGAUAUUUAAGUCAGGGGUGAAAUCCCAGAGCUCAACUCUGGAACUGCCUUUGAUACUGGGUAUCUCGAGUAUGGAAGAGGUGAGUGGAAUUCCGAGUGUAGAGGUGAAAUUCGUAGAUAUUCGGAGGAACACCAGUGGCGAAGGCGGCUCACUGGUCCAUUACUGACGCUGAGGUGCGAAAGCGUGGGGAGCAAAC